rnacentral:rRNA from 1 species
GUAUCGGAUUCUGGGCGUAAGCGCACGCAGGCGGUCUGUCAAGUCGGAUGUGAAAUCCCCGGGCUCAACCUGGGAACUGCAUUCGAAACUGGCAGGCUAGAGUCUUGUAGAGGGGGGUAGAAUUCCAGGUGUAGCGGUGAAAUGCGUAGAGAUCUGGAGGAAUACCGGUGGCGAAGGCGGCCCCCUGGACAAAGACUGACGCUCAGGUGCGAAAGCGUGGGGAGCAAACAGGAUUAGAUACCCUGGUAGUCCACGCCGUAAACGAUGUCGACUUGGAGGUUGUGCCCUUGAGGCGUGGCUUCCGGAGCUAACGCGUUAAGUCGACCGCCUGGGGAGUACGGCCGCAAGGUUAAAACUCAAAUGAAUUGACGGGGGCCCGCACAAGCGGUGGAGCAUGUGGUUUAAUUCGAUGCAACGCGAAGAACCUUACCUACUCUUGACAUCCAGAGAACUUUCCAGAGAUGGAUUGGUGCCUUCGGGAACUCUGAGACAGGUGCUGCAUGGCUGUCGUCAGCUCGUGUUGUGAAAUGUUGGGUUAAGUCCCGCAACGAGCGCAACCCUUAUCCUUUGUUGCCAGCGGUCAGGCCGGGAAC